UAAAAUAAAAACUUGCUAUAAAAUAAGUAAGUAGUCUAGUCUUUAUAAAAAAAAUAAUUUUAAAUAUAUGGUGGUACAAGUAAUAAAUUAGAACGUUAAAUGCUAGUUGGCUUUAGUUAAAAAGUAUUGUAUAAGAAAGUUGAAAUAAUUAAAAAAAUAAUUAAAGAAAAGUAUCAGUAAAAAAGAGUACCUUGUGUAUCAGGGGGAUUUGAAAUUUUUUAUGUAAGUUAACUGUCCCGAAGGAAAAAUAGCUAGUAUAAUAAAUUCGUCUUAGUAGCAUAUAAGUUUAAAAUAUUAUAUUAGUGGUGAAAUAUUAAACGAGUUUUCGAAUAUCUGGUUUUUUUAGAAAUGAAUUUAAUUCAGCUGUUUAAGAUUAAAUCCCUAUGCAGUAAAUAAUGGGAGGGUAAGCUUCUCGUUAAAAAAAUAAUUAUAAGCUUUUAAAAAGAAAAUAAUUUUAACUAGGCUUAAGAAUAGCCACGUUUAUAAAGUGUUUCAAUUAAGAAAAAAAAAUAAAAUUGUUUUUAUGGGGUUUAAUUGUUACUAAAAAAAUAUAUUAAAAAAUGAUUUUUUAAUAGUAAAAAUGAAUUCAUUAGUAUAGUGUUAUUAUAAAAGAAAAAGAUAAAUGAAUACAGGGCUUAUAGUAAAUGAGAGUUAUUUAAAAGGAACUCGGCAAAAGUAGCUUUUGCCUGUUUAUCAAAAACAUGUCUUUGUGGGUGUUUAAUAUAAAGUCUGACCUGCCCAUUGAUAUAAAAUUAAAAGGCCGCGGUAUAAUGACCGUGCGAAGGUAGCAUAAUAAUUUGUCUUUUAAUUGAAGGCUAGUAUGAAUGGUUGAACAAAAGGCUAACUGUCUCUUAAAUAAAGCUUGAAGUUAACAUUUAAGUGAAAAGGCUUAAAUAAUCUAGAGGGACGAUAAGACCCUAUAAAUCUUUAUACUUAGGUUUAUACGGUUGAAGGUUAGGUUACUAUUUAAUUUUAUAAAGUUAAGUAUUUUGUUGGGGUGACAGGGGCAUAAGAGUGAAUAACUGCCUUAGAGUUAGAGUUAAAAGUAUUUAAUUUAUUAAGUGAUCCUUUAGUAGAGAAUAUAGACUAAGUUACUUUAGGGAUAACAGCGUAAUUUCUCUUGAGAGUUCAUAUCGAAAGGGGAGGUUGCGACCUCGAUGUUGAAUUAAAGAUCCUUUAUGGUGCAGAAGUUAUAUGAGGAGGUCUGUUCGACCUUUAAAUCUUUACAUGAUUUGAGUUCAGACCGGCGUGAGCCAGGUCGGUUUCUAUCUUCUAGAAAAAAAAAUUAUUCUUUUAGUACGAAAGGAUUAGAGAAUGAUAAUAAUUGUGCAAAAGAGAA
rnacentral:rRNA from 1 species